rnacentral:rRNA from 1 species
GAACUCGGCAAAUAAGGGGACCGCCUGYUUAUCAAAAACAUGGCUCCCUGAGCAAUAUGGGGGGUCGUGCCUUCCCGGCGAGCUUGCGGGCUUAAACGGACGCGGUAAAGCGUGCUAAGGUAGCUAAAUUAUGGCCUAUUAAUUGUAGGUCCUGUGAAUGGUUUGACGAGCUUCCAACUGYUUCUAGWCCUUUACCYGAAACUUGAAUUGCAUAUUUUAAUGCUUCCCGCCUAACUAAGAUGAACUKAAUUUGGGAAGCUUAAAAUGAAUCUCACUGGUGACUCUCUGCCCCCUGUUAWCUGCAUUCUCGGCYCCUUCGCGGGAUUCCKAUCUCCAKUUUGUUCCCCCCCUACUGMAUGCUUUUUCUUGAUUUUUUUGGAWUUACCGCUCCCCCCGGAACAACUUCUUUGUAUGUGGAGCUCCCUCCUCUACUAAAAUUUCUUKGUCCYUACCUUAUCCCCUUUCUUUCAUGUAUCU